rnacentral:rRNA from 1 species
AGUGAACGCUGGCGGUAGGCCUAACACAUGCAAGUCGAACGGCAGCACAGGAGAGCUUGCUCUCUGGGUGGCGAGUGGCGGACGGGUGAGGAAUACAUCGGAAUCUACUCUGUCGUGGGGGAUAACGUAGGGAAACUUACGCUAAUACCGCAUACGACCUAUGGGUGAAAGCAGGGGACCUUCGGGCCUUGCGCGAUUGAAUGAGCCGAUGUCGGAUUAGCUAGUUGGCGGGGUAAAGGCCCACCAAGGCGACGAUCCGUAGCUGGUCUGAGGGCAUGAUAAGCAACACUGGAACUGAGACAGGGUCCAGACUCCUACGGGAGGCAGGAGUGGGGAAUAUUGGACAAUGGGCGCAAGCCUGAUCCAGCCAUACCGCGUGGGUGAAGAAGGCCUUCGGGUUGUAAAGCCCUUUUGUUGGGAAAGAAAUCCAGCUGGCUAAUACCCGGUUGGGAUGACGGUACCCAAAGAAUAAGCACCGGCUAACUUCGUGCCAGCCGCCGCGGUAA